CUCCCACGUGGUGCAGGCCAGCAUCCGUUCCCCCGCACUCCGCAGGCCACGGCUGCGUGCGACACCUGCUAUCAGCCCUCUGACCGAGCGCAGUACCUCCUGCGCUACCCUGGGAUCUCCAGCAUCCGCACCUCUGAAGCGAUCUGACCCUGGCACCGUCUCCAGAGCACAAGCUUCAUGGAGGUCCUCAGAAAAUGCAAAAGCCCUAAAAGGUAUGGAUGGAACAUAUCAUCACAUUCCUCUGGGGAGGCGCUAGAAGGGCUUCUCCGAAGAAGGGGUACCUGAAGAUUGAUCAGCAAGGGUUGGGAGAUCUCAGGAUAGAGAGUAUCGGGAGACAAGGCCUGAAGCCAGGAGAGAAAGACUGGCAAGUCGUGAGUCCUCUGAGGCUGGAGAGUGACAGGAAGGGAGAGGAAGAGAGGGCCUGGGCUUACUGUUCUACCCCAAGAGCAAUGGAAAAUGCUGAACAGCUCUGAAAGGGUCGUCUUGGUGGCACCGUGGAAAGGAAUCUGUUGGCAUAUGGCAGGACCUGGAGGAACAAGUUGUCCCCACAAAGACAGGUGCCAAAUCUUGUUUGCUGGGUGGGGAAGCCACCACACUGCUCCCAAGGGACACAUGUGGAAGCUGCUUCUAAAGACCUGUAAACAGAGAGGGAGCUGCUUGAGAGUCCGUGACACCCCUGGAAUCCCAUGAUGGCCGACCUGAAGGUUUCUCUAUGAAUCCAGUGAGUCCUCAGCUGAGUGCUCUCUGGAACCAGGAUACCUGUGUCACGUGGAUGGUGUCAGAAGGACACUCUGUCCUCCAGUGGCCUGACAAGCCAACAAGAUGAUUUGCACUCAGCCAGCGCCACACCCCCCAUCAGCAGGGGCAGCCUUGAUGGUGGCUAAGAAAAGAUUUAGAGCUCAUGUAAGAUUGCUCUAGCACUUCGCUGCUGGUGACCUCUCCGCACCCCAGCUUCCUGCACUUUAUAAGAUGUGGUAGUCAUCACCCCACCUCAUAAAGUCUUCAUGAGAAUUCAACGGUUUCAUGCUUUAAAAUGUACCUAGGAUGGAGGAGAGCGAUUCUGUGAAGGACCCUGGCUCUCUGCUCUCUCCGUUCCCAGGACAUCCUAUUCAUGGGCUCCCUGGAAUGUUGGCGGUCUUGUUCUUGGAUACAGGAACAGCACUACUGUAAAAGCCUGCUUACUACUGAGUUGAGCACCCAGCUCCUAGUGGUCUCUGGAUAAAUAUUGGACAAACGAAUCAGUGAUUGACACUCAGCCAGUCAACAGGCUCUUCCUGGAAAGGGGAAUCCUGGGGAAGCACCCUCCUGUUAAUUCCCAAUGGCCUUCCAAAGCUGGAGGCUCAUUUCCCAUACUGGUUCAUCCUGGCCUUGGCUGUGGCUGGGAGUCUGCAGGGUCUUAGAGCAAGGUUCCUGGGAGAACAGGGCAGUAUGUGAGGUGCAAGGGCUUCAAAGACCAGGAGGUGGAGGGAGGGCAGCUUCCGGAGGACACAGGCUUCCAGAGGUCAGGACAGAAGCCGCUUCGCAGUGGUCUCCAAGUGCGGCUUGGAAAGGGGAGGCCAGUUCCUUUUGUUGGAGUCCUGGGAAGGAACCAAGGGUUGGGAUUCUGGGUGGAGUGUUAGGCAAACACUCUACCACUGAACUGUGUUCCCAGCCCACAAGUUCGUUCGUUCUUCAUUCAUUCAUUCAUUCAUUCAUUCAUUCAUUCAUUCAUUCAUCCAACAAACACAUACUGAGGUUCUAAGCUGGUCAACAAUGCAUCAGACAUAGACUUUGCCCUGAAAGACCCCAGUCUGGGGGCAGGGUCAGAUAAGAGAGGCAGACAGAUAAUUACCAGGACCAGGCAGGCGAAGGCUGAGUCUGAAUCACAGGUAAGGGUGUGAAGAGAUCCCAACCAUGACUUCCUGAUAGAGGAGAGGUGGGGCUCUGAGUCAAGAGGCUUAUGGGAAGGGUAAUGCCUGAAUGGAGAGUGGAAGAUUAAAAGGCACUUGGUUGUGGUGGGGAGAUGGGAGAACAUUCUAGAAAGAGGAGAACAGGGUGAAGACCCACAGACAGGGAAGUGUGUGUGUGUGUGUGUGUGUGUGUGUGUGUGUGUGUGUGUGUGGAAUUGGGCAGAUGAUAUGUUAUCAUGGCGUGGGCUACAGGCAUGACGGAUGCUGAGGAAGUUAAGGAUUCUAGGUAGGGCUGUGAUUUAACUCAGUGGCAAGCAUUUACUUAGCAUGUGCAAGGCCAUGAGUUCAAUCCUCAAUAGACUAAAUGGAGGCCGUACGCUCUUUUUGACUUGUUUUGUGUUGAGGCACAGUCUUCAUUGGCUCUCCCCAGGAAUCCACUGGUCCUGAGGACCUCUGUGAGCUCAAUGACAUCUUUGCCCUUUUUCAGGCUGUUUCCGCAGCCUCCUGGGCUUCUUCUCCCAGUAACGGAUGGAUUUGGGAAUUGGAAUUCUUCCAUUGCCCAUGGCCCGGUACUGCCAGCCAGCCUCAUAAGCCACAUGCCCAGAUGAACAAACUUUCUGGUUAGGCUUCAGCUGCACAACUUUGAGGCCAGCAGGAACCACGAGCCACUGUUUUUUGUCACUUAGAGGGAUCCCAUCUAAGAUCUAGAGGCGUUCCAGGGCGGGCUAGCCUUGCUUGGUCUUGUAGGGCAACAUGCCUCACACUGUUUGCCAGAAAAAUACAGGGCCCGGAAGUGGUAGGAUCCCCCGAGGAGGGUUGGUGUUCAUCUGCUGUGGAGAAAGGCCGGGUACUUUGUUUUGUUGAUAUACUCAUAUGCAUGACGACCACCUUCUGACCACAACGGCCACCAGGCAGCCCAGAAGAUAGCGUGGGCCAUCCAGCACUAGAACCUGCCCUCCGCCAUCUUUGUUAACGGGGCUUGCGGCUUUAUAUAAUGCUAAGUCAGGAAACUACAGCCACCUCUGCCUCUUCCAACAGCGGAUGCAACGCUCCAUCUAGCUUCCACACAGAGGAUGCUAUAAGCUUCUUGGGCAAUCCUCCUAAGACUGGUUCUACUUCAGGCAGAGCUGAAUCCAGGUACCCAUGUGGACACCAGUGAGUGUCCCCUGGGCCAGUGGAAAGAAGAUUGCUCCCAAGCCUAACAACCCAAUUGUGAUCCCGAGAAUCCACACGACAGGAGGAGAGAAUUGACUCCGACAAGUUGUCCUCUGACCUCCACAUGAGCACCAUGGCAUGACAUGUGCACACCCAUG